rnacentral:rRNA from 1 species
UACGAAGGGGGCUAGCGUUGUUCGGAAUUACUGGGCGUAAAGGGCGCGUAGGCGGUCUUGUAAGUCAGGCGUGAAAGGCCCGGGCUCAACCUGGGGACUGCGCUUGAUACUGCGAGGCUUGAAUCCGGGAGAGGAUGGCGGAAUUCCCAGUGUAGAGGUGAAAUUCGUAGAUAUUGGGAAGAACACCGGUGGCGAAGGCGGCCAUCUGGUCCGGGAUUGACGCUGAGGCGCGAAAGCGUGGGGAGCAAACAGG